rnacentral:misc_RNA from 1 species
CAACCCUCGCGCCCAUCCGGGCUGCGGUGUUGGGGACCGGCACAACCGCCCUCCGGGGCGGCGCCGCCCCCCAAAUACAGUGGCGGUCUCGCUGCAGCCUCCCUUGCGUAGUAGCACACCUCGCACCGGAGCGCAGCGCGGCCACGCCGUAAAACCCCCGACCCCCUUGA